UGCAUAUGUGUGUGUACAUGUGCAUGUGUGUGUAGGUGUGUGUGUAUGCAUUUUUGAAUCAAGCACCUUUCUGGCUGCAGUGGUAGACAGACAAAUCACAUGUCAUCUAUAGUGGAACCUACCACCUGGUCUGAUAGCUGCAGUAGGUAGGGCUUAUUUGCCCUGCCUUGACCAACCAUGGGCUGUAGACUCCUAAGCUGUGUGGUCUUCUGCCUCUUGGGAGUAGGCCCUUUGGAGACGGCUGUUUUCCAGACUCCAAAGCAUCGUGUCACACAGGUGGGAAAUGAAGUGUCUUUCCAGUGUGAGCAAAAGCUGGGCCACGAUACUAUGUACUGGUACAAGCAAGACUCUAAGCAAUUGCUGAAGAUCAUGUUUAGCUACAAUAAUAAGCAACUCAUUGUAAAUGAAACGGUUCCGAGUCGCUUCUCACCUCAGUCUUCAGAUAAAGCUCAUUUGAAUCUUCGCAUCAAGUCUGUAGAGCCGGAUGACUCUGCUGUGUAUCUCUGUGCCAGCAGCUAAGACACAGUCAUGCAGAGUCACUGUU